GGUCUGCCCAAGCCGAAGGAG
rnacentral:misc_RNA from 1 species